UCUUGCUGACUCCCACUAUCAUAGCUCACUUCCUGGAUGGUUUGGUAACUUUUCAUUGAGACAUGAAAGUUAAUCCAUAGGUAUCCUGAGAUCCUUUGGUUGAAGAUGCUUUCACACCAAGAGAAUUCCCAUUUGUUCUGGCUGGCUUCCAGAAGGUGCUAUCACUGGAAUUACUUUUAUUUAUAUCUCCUUUCAGAGUUACCACAGAAUAUGUAAUAUGGUUUCAAAAUCCAAACUACAAGAAAGCAGGACUAUGUUUAGAAAUUCUCAAGAGAGGCUAAUGUUAUUAUUACUUUUCUCCACUAAUAGCUGAGACUGUGACUGAUAAGUUUGUUCAUUGGCUGCCUUUGUUGCAGGUGGAUAUUUCCUAGGCACAUUCAUUCAACCUACAAGUACUUAAUAAAUAUGCUUUAUGUGUUCAUUUAUAGAAUAUGGCUCAUGUUCCUUUACACGACAUGUUUAGCACCCACAGCAAUGCUGCAGCUAGGUUUACAGUUUAGUUUUUAAACUUACCUCUCCAAUUACCUACUUCCCAUACCUGCUGGGAUCAAUCAGAAGCUCUAUGAGAUCAGGCCUAUUAUCUUUUUCUUUUCUUUAAAACUCACAGUGACCAUAAAUGCUCAAUAUGCACAGGAGAUGCUUUUUGUUUUUCCCUGGCUGUACUGAGCUAUAACUGACAUACAAAAAUUGUAUGUAUUUACAUUAUACACUGUGAUGUUUUGAUAAAGUGUGAAAUCACCACCACAGUCAAGUUAAUUAACCCAUUCAUCACCUCAAACAGUUACCUUUUUUACUUGGUGGUGAGAACACUUAAGAUCUAUUCUCCUAGCAAAUUUCAAAUAUACAAAACAUAUUUUUGAAGAUGACUAUUAGCCAAUCAACAGAAGCUUGGUAAAUAAUGAAAACAGGUGAAAUUAAAUUGACCACUGGCAAAAGAAAUCUUCCUACAGGUGGAUAAACUGAGACUCAGGAAUAGGUAAACUGAGGCUCACUCAGGACAAGGAAAUAACUGACUUCAAGGCUGUAUUAGUAGCAGAGCCAGCAUUAGAAUCCAGCUUUUCUGACUCACAGACCAAUGCUUCUGUCACAGAACUACCCCUCUUGUUUUAUGUAGUAUUUGUCAGUGUAUUACUGGUUUCUGGGAAGUGGCUGCAAGCAUUUCCCAGUGCCCUUGCAUCUAGAUGGGGCCAUAUGACUAAAUGAAGCUAAUGGAAUAGGCACAGAAAUUCAUGUGUAUUACCUCUAGUCAGAGGAGGACAAGUAGACAAUAUCUACCUCCCAUCUGUGAUGGUCUUGGAAGCCAGCAAUGAAGAUAAUAGGAUCAUGAAAUAGAAAAAAACCUGGGUUCCUGAUCAAAGCUUGGAGGAAAGCCACCCAACCAGAAGCAUCUACUUGGGAACUUCAGGUCCUGUUUGAGUCACAGAAUGGCUGGCUAUGGACUGACUAAGAUCCUAGGGAACCUCACUGACCCACUGGGUAUGCCAGCAGAAGUAUACAAGUCAGACUAGACCUCUUUUAAAGUAAAAUAAACAAACAAAAUCCAA